rnacentral:rRNA from 1 species
UGGGGAAUAUUGGACAAUGGGCGAAAGCCUGAUCCAGCCAUGCCGCGUGUGUGAAGAAGGUCUUCGGAUUGUAAAGCACUUUAAGUUGGGAGGAAGGGCAGUAAGCGAAUACCUUGCUGUUUUGACGUUACCGACAGAAUAAGCACCGGCUAACUCUGUGCCAGCAGCCGCGGUAAUACAGAGGGUGCAAGCGUUAAUCGGAAUUACUGGGCGUAAAGCGCGCGUAGGUGGUUCGUAAAGUUGAAUGUGAAAGCCCCGGGCUCAACCUGGGAACUGCAUCCAAAACUGGCGAGCUAGAGUAGGGCAGAGGGUGGUGGAAUUUCCUGUGUAGCGGUGAAAUGCGUAGAUAUAGGAAGGAACACCAGUGGCGAAGGCGACCACCUGGGCUCAUACUGACACUGAGGUGCGAAAGCGUGGGGAGCAAACAGG